rnacentral:lncRNA from 1 species
GGCACCUUAAAGAUCGCCCAGGUCCAACCCCACUGCCAUGGGCAGGAAAUCUUCCACUUGACCAGAUUGCUCCAAGACCCAUUCAAUGGUGGCCUUUUCAUAAUCAUUUAGACUUCUUUCCAGUGCCUCAAAAACAGAUUUUCAUCUCCCUCAUUCUCUCUCAGAAGAUGAGUCUCACAGAGAUCCUGUGCCAUGUUUCAUCCUCAUGCAAACGUUACUUGGUCUGUAUGAAGCCAAUGAGACGGGUAUUCUUGGAAGUGAGCAUGAUCUUUUGUUCUCAAAUAAG